ACUUACCAGUCUUAGGUGAAACAAUUUGCCAAUUUGCUGUUUGUUGAAUGGUGAAAGAAAUACUCCUUGUUCCUGCUAAUUUCUAGCAAAGUGAUACUAGUGGUCUUCUUGAGGUUAUCUGAAACAGAGAAAAUAUGAUUUUAGAAUUCUGUUUGGAAUUAAAAUUUGACAUUUUUCAGAGCAUUCUAACUAUUUAGACCAUUUUGAAAGUUCUAGAUGGGCUUUUAUAUGGUUAUGGAGGAUAUGGACCCAGGAUAUAUUACAAAUGCAGAAAAUCCUUUAGAUGCCAGCUCUAUAUCAAGUUUUUCUCACGUGCAAAUAGGAGAAUAGAUUAAAAUUCUUAUAUCAGUGAUCUUAUAUCAGUCUAUUUCAAUAUAAUGUACAAUAUGAAUCAGAAUAUUUCUCAUAUGAUUUCCUUAGAAACUGUAUGAGAGUAGAAAUUUGGAGGAAAAAACCACUGUAGGGUUUGCUUCUACAUCUUAAAUAAAAAAAUUCUAAGGAUCAUUUUAUUGAAAAUGAAGAUCUAUUUGAAUAUCAUUUUGAUUUGCAUUUGAUAGUGCUUUUAGAAAUUAAUUAUUUAGAAGUAAACAUUAAAGUAUUAAUAUCUGAAUUUUACAUGACAUCAUUAUAUUACUGUGUAGAUUAUACUUUCUAAUAACUUUCAUAGCACUGAUAUUUCUUCAUAAAUACAUAUGAAACAAUUUCUAAGCACAGUCAAAACUUAGUUCUCCAAAUUUAACAUUUGACGCAGAGAAGAAUUCAAUGAAAAACUACUUAGCAGCAGCCAUAAUAAUGGAAGAAUCAAUAAUAUUAGUAAAUGUAAGAGAAAUCAACUUUUAUUUAUCAGUAUAAGCUUGAUUUUAUUGUAAGCAUUUUAAAAUGCAUUGUCAAGCCCAUCUGUAAGAAGGGCCAAAGUGAUGAUCUAUGAAACUACAAGGUCAUUAAUCUUACUUCAGUUUUUGGGUAAAUGAUGGAAUUAGUCCUCCUAGAAACUACUGCCUUCCAAAUGAAGCAGGUGAUUGGGAAAAAUCAGCACAGAUUUACCAAAGGUGAAUCACUCCAGAUUAACCUUAAUAUCUUCUACAACAGCAUAACAUCUUCUGUCGACAUGGGGAGAGCACUGGUUGUUGUUUGCCUGGAGUUCAGCAAAGCAUUUCACACUGUUUCCCACAGUUUUCUCCUAGGCAAACUGGCAAGAUAAAGAUUAGAUGUGUGAUCUGUGAGAUGUGUAGCAAAGUGGCUGACAAGCUGCACUCAGAGGGUGGUGAUCAAUGCUUUUUACCCAGGCUGGCAGUCUGUUGCCAGCAGGGGCCCUUAGGGAUCAAUACUGGGCUCCUGGCUGGUAAACAUCUUCAUAAAUUAUCUGGAUGGAGGGGUUGAAAACAUGCUCACCAAGUUUGCUGAUGAUGCCAAAUGGGGAUAAUGAGGUGGACUUGUCAGGAGAGAGAGGCCUUUGUCAGAGAGAGAGACAAGCAGGAAGAGUGGGCCAGCAAGAACUGCAUGAAGCCUAACAAAGGCAAGUGCAAGGUCCUGCACCUGGGAUGACAUAACCAAAAGUCUCAGUGCAGGCUGGGAUCUGUGUGGCUGGGAGCCAGACAGGUCUUUCUGUGAGAGACCUGGGGGUCCUGGUGGACAACAUGGACAUGAGUCAAGCUGCAGCAAAAAAGGCAAAUCAAGUCCUGGGCUGCAUGCAUGAGGGCUUUACUAGCAGAGAUAAAGAUGUGGUCACACACUGUAUUCAGCAUGUAUUAGGCCACGCUUGGAGUACUGUAUCAGAUCUGGUACUCACCAUUAAAGAAAGAUGCAGACAGACUGGAGAAACUCCAAGGAAGGGCCAGGAAGAUGAUCAAAAGUCUGGACAACCUGUCCUGUUGGGAAUGAUUUAGGGAAUUAGGUCUUUUCACCCUGGAGAAGAGAAGACAUAGGAGAGACCUCAUCAUGGUAUUCCAGUACCUAAAGAGCAGCUACAAAAAUGACAGAGUCUCUCUUUUCACUGCGAGCCGCAUGGAGAAGACCAGGGCAAUGGGUUCAAGUUACACCAGGAGAGGUUUCAUCUUGGCAUAAGAAAGAAAUGUUUCCAGUGAGACCAGCUGGUCACUGGAACAAUCUCUGCAGGGGUGCAUUAGAGUCCUUAUCAUAGGAGAUUUUUUCCAAGAUGCAAUGCUACAGGAUUCCAGACAAUGUCAUCUAGACUCCCUUUCCCAUGAAAGGCUAGAUCAGGUAAUGCUUCAUGUUCCCCUCCUGAAGUCUGUGACAGUCUGCUUAUUUAGUUGUCUUGUAUAAACGUCAAGUCAAAUUAUUUCCAGGUAUCUUGUAACUGAUAGUAUGUUUCUGGGAGAAAUUGAAAUGCUGUUUUAAUUAGAUGGUCAAAUGAACAUCUGAAGUAGCCAGCUGCAGAGUGAGGAUUAUAAGUUCCUUUCUUCCUCUGUUUUGUUUCGUGUUGAACAUUUAAAAUUUAUAUUUAAUAAAUGUAGACAUUCUGGAGUUCAGCAUAAGUGUUUAACAUUAGAUGCAAAACUAACUGAAACAGUUACUGAAAUACUUUUGCAACCUAAUUUGGGGAAGAAAUAGAAUAUUUCCACAUUUUAUGGUAGGGCAGACAUAUAUAAUGAGUCUAUAUAAUAUAACAAGUGAAUUUAAUUAUUUUUAUUAGCUCAUCUGUAGUAAUUCUGUGUCACAAAAUUCUUGACAAGGACACUGAAUCUUAUCAUUCUGAUCAUGAUGGAUGCUAUAAAUCAUGAAAUCUCACUGAACUCAAUAUUUUAGAAACCUGAAUCUCUCCUGAGAGAAAGGCAUUGCCUGGUAAUAUGAGCUUUUUAUUAUGAAUCAGAAAUGUCUUUGUUUUGCCUUACUGGACUUCAGUGCUUUCCACUUAGUCAGUGUGGGAUCUAUCAUGAAUCAGAAAUGGAGCAUUUAUCAAAAAUGCAAUGAUGCUUUUCAUUUUAAAGUGUAGUGGUAUGUAAUAGUAGGAACACCAUGUCCUAUGUUGGUCACUGUGCUCUUCUAAAACUUAGGUGAACUGGAAAGUGUUCAGAGGAAAUCAAAAGAAUUAUAAGAGGGUUAAAAAGUUUAACCAUGAGGAAAGGUUGAAGAGCACAGAUACCACUGUGAGACCACUGUUGGUUAUCUUUGAAAGUUGAUGGUGAUUGAAGGAGGUCCCUGAUGACUGGGGAAAAGCAGGUGUUACAUGCUUUUCAAAAAGGACAGGAAGAAUGAUAAAGCAAAUAAUAGGUUACUCAUUCUCCCUUCACUCUCUAAGAGGAUUAUGGAGAAAGACCUCAUGGAAAUUGUUUUCAAGCAUGUGUUUGGGAACAGAUAGCAUGGAUUUACCAAGGCUGAAGUAUGCUUGCCUGGUUGCCUUCUUAGAUGCCAGUGACUUUGUAUGGGCUGGAGGGAGUGGUGUACGUCAUUUGCCUUAGAACAAGCAAGGCCUUUGACAAUAAUCUCCCAUAACAUAUAUGUAGUCUAGAAGAGGAGAUGGAGUCUGGAUGGAACACAUACUGGAUUAAAAACUGUCUGAAACAGGGUUUAUGGUAGUGGUCAACAAAUUGAAGUCUAACUGGCAGUGAUAUUCCUCAGUACUGUGAUUUAACCCCAUCUGGAAGUUCAGUUCCAUGCAGCUGCUCAUUCACUCCCCCUGUGCUGGGAUUCUGGAGUGAACUGGAAGGGUGAAAGUGAGAAAACUCAUGGAUUGAGAUAAAGGCAGUUAAAUAGACAAAGGAAAAAACUGCACUUGCAAGCAAAGCACAACAAGGAAUUCAUUCACCACCUACCGUGGGCAGGCAAGCAUUCAGCCAUCCCCAGGAAAGCAGGGCCCCCAUAUGCAUUAUGGUGACUUGGAAGACAAACACAAUUAUGCCAAACAUCCCCACUUCCCUCUCCUUCCCGAGCUUUAUAUGCUAAGCAUGACACCAUAUGGUGUGGGGUAUGCCUUUGGUCAGUGCUGGGGUCAGCUGUUCCAGCUGUGUCCUCUCCCAGCUUCUUAUGCAAGCCCAGCCUCCUCACCAGUGGCGUGAGGUGAGGAGCAGAAAAAUCCUUGACACUCUGUAAGCACUGCCCAGCAAUAACUGUGACAUCCCUGUGUUAUCGACACUGUUUCCAUCAGAAAUGCAAAACAUAAGCCCAUAUCAGCUACAAUAAAGAUCACCCCAGCCAAAAACAGCACAAUCGGGGGCUGGUAUUGGGCUGAUUCUAGUUAACACUUUCAUGAGAUGAACCUUGUGGAGUUUAGCAAAAGCAAAUGCAAAGUCCUGCACCUGAAAUAGAACAAAUGCAUGCAGCAAUAUACUCUGUUGAGGUAGCAAUAGUGCAGAAAAGGACCUUGAGGUGUUGGUGGCCAAAAAAUUGAAUGUGAAUCACCAGAUUAGAGGAUAGGUAGCAGGUCAAAGUUGUCAAAGAAAGUAUUUAUCCCCCUUUACCUGGCAUUGUGAAGGCUACAUCUGCUAUAUUGUGUUUAGCUUUGUGUGCCCCAGUACAAAAGUUAGUCCAGCAAAGUGUCAUUAAGAAGAUUGAGUGACCAGAGCACAUAUUGUAUGAGAUAGAGUGAACUGGAUUUGCUUGAUCUGGAGAAGAGAAAGUUGAAAGGGAGCUAAAUUUCUGUCUUCAGUGACUCAAAAGUCCCUUGUAAAGACAGACUCUUGUAGGAUGUGAAUGGCAAAAAGACAAGAGAUAUUUAAUUGCCACAGGUUGCAAUAAAGAAAAUUGUAACUGAAUAUGAGGAACAAAAUUUCCAGGUGAAAAUAGUUAGGCACUUGAAUAGAUUGCCAAGAAAUGUAAUGAAAUUUCCAUCCUUGGAAGUUUCCCUGAACAGCCCUAUAUACUCUUCCAUUCUGUUCACUCUGCUGUUAAUGCUUCUAGAAAGACAAAUUGGUCAAUCUGUUUUUGGUUAAAAAAUAAAAUCUUGCCCUAGGAGCACAAGAAAGAUCUUUGAGAUACUUUCCAGAACUUCAUGUCUAUGAAUCAUUUAAGGCUAGCCCUACAAAACAUAAACUGUGUUUCAUAGCAGCUAGAUGUUGGGUUCCUUGAUAAAUAUUAAAAUUUAUGCCUGCAAAUAAGACAUAAAGAAUAAGGCUUUGUCUGGAGCUCUGGAGUAUUCAGGCGCCCAAGAUCCGGAGUCACAAAAACCAGUUUGUGGAUGCACACUGAAAUGUGAAUAAACAUAAAUGUAUACAUGACAGAUAAAUCCUUUUUUAAGUUUAAGGAAUUUAUUCAGCCUUGUCUGAACUUGUGAUAUGGUCAGUUUCUCCCCAUAGUAGGGACCUAUUACGGAGUUGUGUUUAUGUAAAUAUUACAGAGCACAGGUAGAAACUAGACAUUGAGGUGUUUUCUCUCUUGGCCAUUUUUUCUUUUUUCUUUUUUCUUUUCCUUUUGAAUCAGCUGUUCAAUUGUUAGUAUACUCAGCAAGGUUAGACAAGAUGCUGUGAGAAUUAAUGCCAAGUCAGCAUUUCUUAAGUGCUUUGAAGAUAAAAGACAAUAUAAAGCACUAAUUAUCAGUACUAAUUAGCAUCCCACCAAACAUGACUCACUGGCUGGUUUUUCAAGUCUUUAAAGGAUUGUCAGCAAUCUUCUGGAAAGCUUGAAAACCUUUUUCUCACAGACAGAAAGUGAGAGCUGGAAAGCAUUGAUGUAAAGCCAGUGAACAGCUCUGGGGUUAUCUGACUCCAGUCAGGGUAAAUUCAGUGUCAGGUGAAUCAGAGCCUGACCUUUAAUUUGGGACCAUUCUCCAAGCCAUGCAGGUAAUCAUUAAACAAAUGUUUGGGGUCAGGCUCAUAACUCAUACAAUUUUAUGAAAUUAAAUAUUCUCUUUUCCAGGAUCUAUAUCCAGUGAGUCUGCUCAGUAGAUACAAUUGACUCCCUGCCUUCUAUCCCUGAGGAUAUUUUUCAGAUGACAAUGUCAAACCUAUUCCCAUGAAAGUCCAGUUGCAUAAGAGAAUCCUGUCUCUUUUCCAUCCUAGAUUUUUUUAUGCAGCUAAGAGUGUGCUACAUGGUGUUACCCUUCCAUGUUGGAGCAUUUGGGAAGAAGCAGCUGGUUGGCUUGAAUACCAUCCUCUCCCUGAGGGAUUCAAAUCCAUGUCUCUAGAGAGUCAGCCUAAACAGCGGAUGGUCUGUUCUGAGAGCAGAUGCUUUCCAUCUCAUCUCCCAAAGAGGUGCCAGCUAUUGCAGCAAGAACUUCCAAGUUUAUUGCACCAUAAAAAGGGCAUAUUCCUGAUGGGCUGGGAACUUCAAUAUCUUCAAUAAUUCUCUUGGAACAAUCACUGCAUUAGCAGUUAGAAGCAAAAGGUGUGGAAGGAAGCUCUUAAGUACCCAGCUGGGGUGAGAAAAUAUUGAAGAGCUGAGCUGGAAGAUUUGUGGGGUCCCUCAGGCAGUUCAAACCUGUAUCUCCCCUUUUAGGAUAAGGCUCAUAACACCCAUCUAGAAGAGUGAGCAGACCUGUGUCCCAUCAUAAUCCCUGAUGCUGGGUCAGAAUGACCUUGCUGCUUAAGGAUUUGCCUGAGGAGUCCAUAUAUUAGGAAUUUCAUGACAGUGCUGAAGUUUAGGAGCAGAGGAUGUUUCAGAGUACAUCUUUAUAGCUUUGCCAUUCCCAUAGCUACUUCCGAAUAAUUAGAUAGCAGGACUUCAUUAAUGACUUAGCAGCUGGGUAGCUUGUACCUUCCUCUAGGAAUCACAUUAAUAAUGAAAAAAAUGCAAAAAUUGUAUACACAAGAUGAUACAUAUUUAUAUUUUUUGUUUCAAAUCUCUGAAAAUCUGAUGCCAAGUUUCAGCAGAGAAGCUGAAUCAUGUUACUGAAAUAAGACUUUCUGUAUGUGUCAUCCCCUGAUCAAAUAAAACAAACCCAAAUGAAAAUACAAAAAUAGCUUAUAUUCAGGAACCCUAUUUACAUUCAUUUAUGUUUGGUGAGAAUUUUGACUGAAGUGCAGCUAAAAAGCUGAUCUUCUUGAAUGGAAAUCAUUGGUCCCUACAGAGAAGAAGAAGAAGGAGGAUCUUUGAAAGUGACAGCUGAUUUCUUCAAUCUGUUAAUGAUUCCCUUGGAGAGUUUUUGAAAGCAUCUUGGAGACAAAUUAAUAAAAAUUACGGCAUCAAUAGUUUUCUCUGGGAAGGCACUGUUGCUGCAAAAAUUUCUUGUUCAGGCAGAGUGGGAGGUGUAAUUUGCAAGCAUUCUUACUCCCUGCAACCUGAGACCCCUCAAUGUGGACCACAUUAGCUGAGAGAGAAUGCCCACAUCCCUAUGUACUGAGCUCAUAUGUCAGCAAUGACUUCAUUGCCAGUCCAUUCAAGUUUGGAACAUAAGUAAACAAGCAGAUGAGAUAUCUGCACUUUAGUCAAGCUUGCAACUAGAGGCUACCCUAUGAAGCAUCCUUGGUGGAGCUGAGAGAACCAGUGUGAGGGUAGCAAUAUGAAAAUUAUGAGUUAGUGAAAAAGUAAGAUUCUUUUUCACACUCAGAUUUAAUACAAAGUGUUUGUAAGAUAUAUCAAAGACCACUGCUAAAAUCUGAUUAAUCAGAAAUUAUAAGAAUGCAAAGAAUGAGGUCUUUGGGUAAAAAGUGUAUGUGGGGGGAAAGGCAUAUCUUUUAUGAACAAGUUCUGGGGUAUUUAACUUCUGGAACUUUAAUAAAUAGAUAAUUAUCACAUCUUGUUCUUAUCCAUCCUCCUGAAAGGUAUUGUAGUCUAAAAACUCAUCUGCCCAUCACUUGGGGAAAUGAAUU